UACGUAGGGGGCGAGCGUUGUCCGGAAUCAUUGGGCGUAAAGCGCGUGUAGGCGGCUCGGUAAGUCUGCUGUGAAAGUCCAGGGCUCAACCCUGGAAUGCCGGUGGAAACUGUCGAGCUUGAGUCCGGAAGAGGCGAGUGGAAUCCUGGUGUAGCGGUGAAAUGCGCAGAUAUCAGGAGGAACACCAAUGGCGAAGGCAGCUCGCUGGGACGGUACUGACGCUGAGACGCGAAAGCGUGGGGAGCAAACAGG
rnacentral:rRNA from 1 species